UUUAUGCAUGAAGCUAUGGCUACAGAUUCCCCUAGAAGACCCAGUCGUUGUACUGGUGGAGUUGUGGUUCGCCCUCAGGCUGUCACAGAGCAGUCCUACAUGGAAAGUGUUGUGACUUUUCUGCAGGAUGUUGUGCCACAGGCUUACAGUGGAACACCUCCAACAGAAGAAAAGGAGAAAAUAGUCUGGGUCAGAUUUGAAAAUGCAGAUUUGAAUG